rnacentral:lncRNA from 1 species
AUGACCGCUGAGCCCAUGAGCGAAAGCAAGUUGAAUACAUUGGUGCAGAAGCUUCAUGACUUUCUGGCACACUCAUCAGAGGAAUCUGAAGAAACAAGUUCUCCUCCAAGACUUGUGAUGAACCAAAGCACAGAUAAAGUCAGUGGGUCUGGCAAUAACUCUGAUAUGAUGGAAAACAGCAGGGAAGAGGGAGCUAGCUCUGCAGAAAAAUCCAAAUCGUCAGGAUCCUCACGAUCAAAGAGGAAACCUUCAAUUGUAACAAAGUAUGUAGAAUCUGAUGAUGAAAAACCUUUGGAUGAAACUGUAAAUGAAGAUGCUUCUAAUGAAAAUUCAGAAAAUGAUAUUACUAUGCAAAGCUUGCCAAAAGGUACAGUGAUUGUACAACCAGAGCCAGUGCUGAAUGAAGACAAAGAUGAUUUUAAAGGGCCUGAAUUUAGAAGCAGAAGUAAAAUGAAAACUGAAAAUCUCAAAAAACGCGGAGAAGAUGGGCUUCAUGGGAUUGUGAGCUGUACAGCUUGUGGACAACAGGUCAAUCAUUUUCAAAAAGAUUCCAUUUAUAGACAUCCUUCACUGCAAGUACUUAUUUGUAAGAAUUGCUUUAAAUAUUAUAUGAGUGAUGAUAUUAGCCGUGACUCAGAUGGAAUGGAUGAACAGUGUAGAUGGUGUGCAGAAGGUGGAAACUUAAUUUGUUGUGACUUUUGCCAUAAUGCCUUCUGUAAGAAGUGCAUUCUUCGCAACCUUGGUCGAAAGGAGCUGUCUACAAUAAUGGAUGAAAACAACCAAUGGUAUUGCUACAUUUGCCACCCAGAGCCUUUGUUGGACUUGGUCACGGCAUGUAACAGCGUAUUUGAAAACUUAGAACAGUUGUUGCAACAAAAUAAGAAGAAGAUAAAAGUUGACAAUGAAAAGACUAGUAAAGUAUAUGAGCAUGCACCCAGAUUUUCUCCAAAGAAAAACAGUUCAAAUUGUAAUGGAGAAGAAAAGAAGUUAGAUGAUUCAUAUUCUGGUUCUGUAACCUACUCUUAUUCAGCACUAAUUGUGCCCAAGGACAUGAUUAAGAAGGCAAAAAAACUGAUUGAGACUACUGCCAACAUGAAUUCCAGUUACAUUAAAUUUUUGAAGCAGGCAACAGAUAAUUCAGAAAUCAAUUCUGCUACAAAGUUACGUCAGCUUAAGGCUUUUAAGUCUGUGUUGGCUGAUAUCAAGAAAGCUCAUCUUGCAUUAGAAGAAGAUUUGAAUUCAGAGAUUCAAGCUUUGGAUGCUGUAAACAAAGAGAAAAAUACCGAAGAGCAUAAAGUCAUAGAUGCUAAGUCUGAAACAAAAGUAAGAAAAGGAGAAAAACCUUGUGUUUUGGAAAGGAAGGAUAUUUCAAAAUCAGAAGUUCCAGAAGACAUUUUUGAAAAUCUUGAGACUGCUAUGGAAGUUCAGAGUUCAUCAGAGUAUCAGGGAGAUGGCAACAGUGGAACUGAACAAGAACUGGAGACUUCUAUAAAAUUAAAUAUUACUUCAAAAGACAACAGAGGAGGUGCUGAUUGUCAGGAAGUUCCACAAGAUAAAGAUAGCUAUAAAAGUUCUUGUCUGAACCCUAAGCCAGAGAACUGUGAACUUGAACAGGAAAAGAAUGAUAAUGAGCAUUUGGCUAAAAGUGAAGUUCCGUUACUUUCAGAAGAAUCUGAUCUUCGAAGAUCCCCGCGUGUAAAGACUACACCUUUGAGGCGACAGACAGAAACCAACCGUACAACAUCUAAUUCAGAUGAAGAAAAUAAUGAAACAGUUAAGGAGCAACAAAAACUUACAGUUCCAAUGAGAAAAAAGGAUAAGCGGAAUUCUUCUGACAGUGCUAUAGAUAAUCCUAAACCUAAUAAAUUGCCUAAAUCUAAGCAGUCAGAGAUUGUGGAUCACAUUUCAGAUUCUGAAGAAAUGCUGGCAAUCCUCAAAGACGUGCCCAGUAUGAGUCACAGUUCUUCAGAUACUGAUAUUAAUGAACCUCAUACAAAUAACAAGAAGACUUUUUACUCAGAGAUUCAAAGAGGGAAAGAUGAUAAAAGAAAAAGGAAACGAAAAAGUUCUACUUCUGGCUCAGAUUUUGAUAUUAAGAAAGGUAAAUCAGUUAAAAAGUCUAUAAUUUCUAAAAAGAAACGGCAAAACCAGUCUGAAUCUUCUAAUUAUGACUCAGAAUUAGAAAAAGAGAUAAAGAGAAUGAGUAAAAUUGGGACUGCCAGAACAACCAAAAAAAGAGUUCCAAAUAAAGAAGAUUAUGAUUCUUCUGAAGAUGAAAAACACAACAAACAAGGAAUGGAUAAUCAAGGUCAUAAAAGUUUGAGGACUGCACAGGAAGGAUCAUCUGAUGAUGCUGAAAGGAAACAAGAGAGAGAGAAUUUCUCUUCAGCAGAAGGCACAGUUGAUAAAGACAAGACCAACAUGGAAUUGAGAGAUUGCCUCUCUAAGAAGCAGCAGCCUGAUGUUUCCUCAGAGAGUGCUGAUAAGCUUUGUUCUGGGAAAGAGGAGAGUUUUAAUUCUCCAGAAGAUAAAAAGUUUGCUGAAUCUAAAGGAAAGAGUAAGCACCAGCGAACCAGAAUGUGUAAGAAAAUACUGGGUGGCUUAUGUGAUGUUGCUGAGAAGUUCUCAGAGAAAGAACAGAGUGAUGAAUCCUCUGAAGAUGAUAACGAGCAGAGCAAAAAGGAAAUUGAAGAAAAAGAAAAGAAGACUGCAGACUUGAGUGAAAAAGUGAUGGAACAAGAGUAUGAAUCAUCAUCUGAUACUACUGAGAAAUUACCUGAGGGAGAAGAAAUUUGUCACUUUCCUAAAAGGAUAAAACAAAAUAAGAGCUCAGCUGAUGGGGAAAAGAAAUGCAAAAAAAGAAAAGAUAAAGCUUCUAAAAAGAAGGGUGAAUUAUCUGAUAAUUCUGAGAAGUUACCAGGGAAAAGAGAAAGUUGUGAUUCUUCAGAAGAUAAGAGGAGUAAGAAUGGAACAUCGAGUAGAGAGAAGAAAAGGUUCAACUUGCCUGAAAAGAGUUCGAGGAAGAGACAGGAUUGUUCAUCAUCUGAUACUGAAAAAUAUUCCAUGAAGGAAGAUGGCUGUGAUUUUUCUGAUAAGAGACCAAAAAGAAUAGAAUUAAGGGAAAGAAGGAAUUUAAAUUCAAAUAGAAAUAGCAAGGAAGUACAAAGUGGCUCAUCAUCUUCUGAUGUUGAGGAAAGUUCUGAAGAUAAUAAAAACCUGAAGAAACAAAGAACUUCAGCUAAAAAGAAGGCAGGCAGUAUGAAGGAGAAAAUGAGAAACUCCUUGAGAACAAGCACUAAAAGGAAGCAGGCUGACAUUACUUCCUCAUCUUCUUCUGAUAUAGGAGAUGAUGAUCAGAAAUCUGUAGGUGAGGGGAGCAGUGAUGAGCAGAAAAUUAAGCCUGUGACUGAAAAUUUAGUGCUGUCGUCACAUACUGGAUUUUGUCAAUCUUCAGGAGACGAAGCCUUAUCUAAAUCAGUGCCUGUCACAGUGGAUGAUGACGACGAUGACAAUGAUCCUGAAAAUAGAAUUGCCAAGAAGAUGCUUUUAGAAGAAAUUAAAGCCAAUCUUUCCUCCGAUGAGGAUGGAUCUUCAGAUGAGUCAGAAGAAGGGAAGAAAAGAACUGGAAAACACAAUGAAGAAAACCCUGGAGAUGAGGAAGUAAAAAAUCAAGCCAUUUCUGAAUCAGAUUCAGAUUCUGAAGAAUCUAAGAAGCCAAGAUACAGACAUAGGCUUUUGAGACACAAGCUGAGUCUGAGUGAUGGAGAAUCUGGAGAAGAAAAAAAGAUGAAGCCUAAAGAGCACAAAGAAGCCAAAAGCAGAAAUAGAAGGAAGGUGAGUAGUGAAGAUUCUGAAGAUUCUGAUUUUCAGGAAUCUGGAGUUAGUGAAGAAGUUAGUGAAUCUGAAGAUGAACAACGGCCCAGAACAAGAUCUACGAAGAAAGCAGAGUUGGAAGAAAAUCAGAGAAGUUACAAACAGAAGAAGAAAAGGCGACGCAUUAAGGUUCAAGAAGACUCAUCUAGUGAAAACAAGAGUAAUUCUGAAGAAGAUAAAGAAGAAGAUGAAGAAGAAGAUGAAGAAGAAGAUGAAAAUGAUGAUUCGAAGUCUCCUGGAAAAGGCAGAAAGAAAAUUCGGAAGAUUCUUAAAGAUGAUAAGCUAAGAACAGAAACACAAAAUGCUCUUAAGGAAGAAGAAGAGAGGCGAAAACGUAUUGCUGAGAGAGAGCGAGAGCGAGAAAAAUUGAGAGAGGUGAUAGAAAUUGAAGAUGCUUCACCGACUAAGUGUCCAAUAACAACGAAGUUGGUUUUAGAUGAAGAUGAAGAAACCAAAGAACCUUUAGUGCAGGUUCAUAGAAAUAUGGUUAUCAAAUUGAAACCACAUCAAGUAGAUGGUGUUCAAUUUAUGUGGGAUUGCUGCUGUGAGUCUGUUAAAAAAACAAAGAAAUCUCCAGGUUCAGGAUGCAUUCUUGCCCACUGCAUGGGCCUUGGUAAGACUUUACAGGUGGUAAGUUUUCUUCAUACAGUUCUUUUUUUGAAUUGGAUGAAUGAAUUUGAGAAGUGGCAGGAGGGAUUAAAAGAUGAUGAGAAGCUUGAGGUCUCUGAAUUAGCAACUGUGAAACGUCCUCAAGAAAGAAGCUACAUGCUACAGAGGUGGCAAGAAGAUGGUGGUGUUAUGAUCAUAGGCUAUGAGAUGUACAGAAAUCUUGCUCAAGGAAGGAAUGUGAAGAGUAGGAAACUUAAAGAAAUAUUUAACAAAGCAUUGGUUGAUCCAGGACCUGACUUUGUUGUUUGUGAUGAAGGCCAUAUUCUAAAAAAUGAAGCAUCUGCUGUUUCAAAAGCUAUGAAUUCUAUACGAUCAAGGAGGAGAAUUAUUUUAACAGGAACACCACUUCAAAAUAACCUAAUUGAGUAUCAUUGCAUGGUUAACUUUAUCAAAGAAAAUUUGCUUGGAUCCAUUAAGGAAUUCAGGAAUCGGUUUAUAAAUCCAAUCCAAAAUGGUCAGUGUGCAGAUUCUACCAUGGUAGAUGUCAGAGUAAUGAAAAAACGAGCUCACAUUCUCUAUGAAAUGUUAGCUGGAUGUGUUCAGAGGAAAGAUUAUACAGCAUUAACAAAGUUUUUGCCUCCAAAGCAUGAGUAUGUUUUAGCUGUGAGAAUGACUCCUAUUCAGUGCAAACUCUAUCAAUACUACUUAGAUCACUUAACAGGUGUAGGUAAUAGCAGUGAAGGCGGAAGAGGAAAGGCCGGUGCAAAACUUUUCCAAGAUUUUCAAAUGUUAAGUAGAAUCUGGACUCACCCAUGGUGUUUGCAGCUGGACUACAUUAGUAAAGAAAAUAAGGGAUAUUUUGAUGAAGACAGUAUGGAUGAAUUUAUAGCUUCAGAUUCCGAUGAAACCUCCAUGAGUUUAAGCUCUGAUGAUUAUACAAAAAAGAAAAAAGCAAAGGGGAAAAAGGGAAAAAAAGAUAGUAGCUCAAGUGGAAGUGGCAGUGACAAUGAUGUUGAAGUGAUUAAAGUCUGGAAUUCAAGAUCUCGAGGAGGUGGUGAAGGAAAUGUGGAUGAAACAGGAAACAAUCCCUCAGUUUCUUUAAAACUGGAAGAAAGUAAAGCUACUUCCUCUUCUAAUCCAAGCAGCCCAGCUCCAGACUGGUACAAAGAUUUUGUUACAGAUGCUGAUGCUGAGGUUUUAGAGCAUUCUGGAAAAAUGGUACUUCUCUUUGAAAUUCUUCGAAUGGCAGAGGAAAUUGGGGAUAAAGUCCUUGUUUUCAGCCAAUCUCUCAUAUCUCUGGACUUGAUUGAAGAUUUUCUUGAAUUGGCUAGUAGAGAAAAGACAGAAGAUAAAGAUAAGCCUCUUAUUUAUAAAGGUGAAGGGAAGUGGCUCAGAAACAUUGAUUAUUAUCGUUUAGAUGGCUCUACAACUGCUCAGUCAAGGAAAAAAUGGGCUGAAGAAUUUAAUGAUGAAACUAAUGUGAGAGGGCGAUUAUUUAUCAUUUCUACCAAAGCAGGAUCUCUUGGAAUUAAUCUGGUAGCUGCUAAUCGAGUGAUUAUAUUUGAUGCUUCUUGGAAUCCAUCUUAUGACAUCCAGAGUAUAUUCAGAGUUUAUCGCUUUGGACAAACUAAACCUGUCUAUGUAUAUAGGUUCUUAGCUCAGGGAACCAUGGAAGAUAAGAUUUAUGAUCGGCAAGUAACUAAGCAGUCACUGUCUUUUCGAGUUGUUGAUCAACAGCAAGUUGAACGUCAUUUUACCAUGAAUGAGCUGACUGAACUUUAUACCUUUGAGCCAGACUUGUUAGAUGACCCUAAUUCAGAAAAGAAGAAGAAAAGGGAUACUCCCAUGCUGCCAAAGGACACCAUACUUGCAGAACUUCUUCAAAUACAUAAAGAACAUAUUGUAGGAUAUCAUGAACAUGAUUCUCUUUUGGACCACAAAGAAGAAGAAGAGUUGACUGAAGAAGAAAGAAAAGCAGCUUGGGCUGAAUAUGAAGCAGAGAAGAAGGACCUCAUUAAUCAAGGAAGAGAAAAAGUUGUGGAAGCAACAAACAGUGUGACAGCAGUGAGGAUUCAGCCUCUUGAAGAUAUAAUUUCAGCUGUAUGGAAAGAAAACAUGAAUCUCUCAGAGGCCCAGGUACAGGCAUUAGCAUUAAGUAGACAAGCCAGCCAGGAGCUUGAUGUCAAACGAAGAGAGGCAAUCUACAAUGACGUGUUGACAAAACAACAGAUGUUAAUCAGCUGUGUUCAGCGAAUACUUAUGAACCGAAGGCUCCAGCAACAGUACAAUCAGCAGCAGCAGCAGCAAAUGACUUAUCAACAAGCAACGCUGGGUCACCUCAUGAUGCCAAAGCCUCCGAAUUUAAUCAUGAAUCCUUCUAACUACCAGCAGAUUGAUAUGAGAGGAAUGUAUCAGUCAGUGGCUGGUGGUAUGCAGCCACCACCAUUACAACGUGCACCACCCCCAAUGAGAAGCAAAAAUCCAGGACCUUCCCCAGGGAAAUCAAUGUGAUUUUGCACUAAAAGCUUAAAAGAUUGUUAAAAUCAUAGAAAGAUCUUUUAUUUUUUUAGGAAUCAAUGACUUAACAGAACUCAACUGUAUAAAUAGUUUGGUCCCCUUAAAUGCCAAUCUUCCAUAUUAGUUUAAAAAUUUUUUUUAAUAGGGCAUACCAUUUCUUCCUGACAUUUGUCAGUGAUGUUGCCUAGAAUCUUCUUACACACAUUGAGUACAGAAGAUCUUUCAAAUUGUUUUCAGUGAAAACAAGUCCUUCCAUAACAGUAACAACUCCACAGGUUUCCUCUCUAAAUUUUUAUGCCUGCUUUUAGUGACCAUAAAAUUGUCAUAAAUUAAUGAAUUUAUGAAAGAAUACUGAUUUAUAUAUUCAUUCUUUACAUAUAAAGACACACAGCUGAGUUCUUAGAGUUGAUUCCUCAAGUUAUGGAAUACUUUUGUACUUAUCCAUUUCUUGACUAA